rnacentral:tRNA from 1 species
AGUAGCUAAGUGGUUAAGCGUCAGUCUAAUAAACUGAAGUUCGCGGGUUCGAUCCCCGCCU